rnacentral:rRNA from 1 species
AUUGAACGCUGGCGGCAUGCUUUACACAUGCAAGUCGAACGGCAGCGCGGGCUUCGGCCUGGCGGCGAGUGGCGAACGGGUGAGUAAUGCAUCGGAACGUGCCCAGUAGUGGGGGAUAGCCCGGCGAAAGCCGGAUUAAUACCGCAUACACCCUGCGGGGGAAAGCGGGGGACCGAAAGGCCUCGCGCUAUUGGAACGGCCGAUGUCGGAUUAGCUAGUUGGUGGGGUAAAGGCUUACCAAGGCGACGAUCCGUAGCUGGUCUGAGAGGACGACCAGCCACACUGGGACUGAGACACGGCCCAGACUCCUACGGGAGGCAGCAGUGGGGAAUUUUGGACAAUGGGGGCAACCCUGAUCCAGCCAUGCCGCGUGCGGGAAGAAGGCCUUCGGGUUGUAAACCGCUUUUGUUCGGGAAGAAAUCCUCUGGGCUAAUACCCCGGGGGGAUGACGGUACCGGAAGAAUAAGCACCGGCUAACUACGU